rnacentral:rRNA from 1 species
GCGUGCCUAAUACAUGCAAGUCGAACGAACUUCCGUUAAUUGAUUAUGACGUGCUUGCACUGAAUGAGAUUUUAACACGAAGUGAGUGGCGGACGGGUGAGUAACACGUGGGUAACCUGCCCAGAAGCAGGGGAUAACACCUGGAAACAGAUGCUAAUACCGUAUAACAGAGAAAACCGCCUGGUUUUCUUUUAAAAGAUGGCUCUGCUAUCACUUCUGGAUGGACCCGCGGCGCAUUAGCUAGUUGGUGAGGUAACGGCUCACCAAGGCGAUGAUGCGUAGCCGACCUGAGAGGGUAAUCGGCCACAUUGGGACUGAGACACGGCCCAGACUCCUACGGGAGGCAGCAGUAGGGAAUCUUCCACAAUGGACGCAAGUC